rnacentral:lncRNA from 1 species
GCCUUUUCUAGGGCCACUCCCGUGGCAUAUGGAGGUUCCCAGGCUAGGGGUCUAAUCGGAGCGGUAGCUGCUGGCCUACGCCAGAGCCACAGCCACGCAGGAUCUGAGCCACAUCUGCAACCUACACCACACCUCACGGCAACGCCAGAUCCUCAACCUACUGAGCAAGGCCAGGGAUCGAACCCGCAAUCUCAUGGUUCCUAGUGGAUUCGUUAACCAUUGAGCCACGAUGGGAACUCCAUGAUAUCAUCUUAUAGAUGAAGAAACUAAGAAUCAGAAAGCUUCAGCAACUUGCCAGAUAUUAUGCAGAAAGUAAGUGGAAGAGAUGAGAUUCAAACUUGGUCUUGUCUGAUUUCAAACACCCCUGGGGCCUCUGUGACCUCCCUUUACAACCUUUUUCUCUACAUAUGCUUCAGUCCUUUCUUCUUCAUGGUCAUGGGAAAGAAUUGUCUCUCCUCUCGCUAAGGCCAACCUUUUCACUUGUGUUCACUAAGUCUGUAUCUUCCCAAUUCCUGCUCCAGAGUCUUUAUAAAGCACCCCUCGCUCUGUUGGGCAUCUUUGAUCUGUUCCUUGCCACAAACUUCUUUCCGUCUCCAGCCUGAAAUGAGUGUCUGUGUGGUGCCUUUCUCAGUCUUCUCUUCCUUAGCUUUCAGCCACAUUGAACACAGUUCAGAUUCUUCUUUAUGCUUGAAACUCUCCACUCCCAGCAUCCAUGACUCGUUUGUUUUUCUCUUCCCUCUCUGGUUAUUCCCCUGGCUGCUUCUGGCUCUUCUUCCUUAUUCUAAUCCUUGAACUGUAGGCAUUACUCCAAGAGUCUGGUAUUGGUUCCCUUCCUCUUCCGGUCUUUCCCCUUUGAGAUUCCCUUUGACCUCAGCUCACUAUGCAGACAAUCCCAAAUCAAUAAUCCACAGGUCUGAUUGGAAAAUGAAUAUGGAAAUAACUUAACUGGGCCUCUAGGGUCAAAAGCAGUCUCUGGCAUAGAGUAGCACUCAAUAAACAACGGAUUUCAGUGAAGAGAACGUUGUGGACAGAGCUUGAGCAUAUGAAUAUUGAUUUAUUUGAACUCAUCAAAGUCAGGAACUGUGCCUUUCCCCCAUUUUUGAUUUCCUGAUCCAGCAUAAUACAUAAUAGCUGUUCAAUAAAUGUUUGUUAAAUGAAUGAAUGUGUUCAAGCUUGCUGAUAACUUUGUGCAGAAUUGUGGCAGUCUUUAUAUAGGAAUUUAGACUUUUUGCUAUGUGCAGUGGGCUUGGAGCCAAACAAGGUUUUUGUCAUUUAAGUAACUCAAUUGUAGCUUAGCUCCAGGAUGACUCAUCUGGCUGCAGUCAGUGUUGAAACCUUGCACCAUCUUCCUCCCUUGCCCUUGCUAUUCUGUCUCUAAUCAGUGGUUCAGUCCUGUUGAUUUUACUUCAGAUAUGGCUAUGGUUUGUAUCUGUGUUUUUGUUUCUAUUCUCAUGGCCACCUCCCAAGGUUAGUCCUGAUUGCCUCUUGCCUGGACUUCAGUGCUGGUCACUCCCACUCCAAUCAUUGUUCUGUAUGCCACAGGCUUUGGCUGUUCUACUAAUGGCUGGCUCUGUGUUUGAAAAAAAGAAAAAAGAACAAAGCUGAAUUGGUUCUGGGAAAGCAAGGAUAAAGAGAGCUAAUACAACUCUCCAUUUUCUGCCUGUAACCCUGUAGGCUCUUUAAAUCUGCUUGAUUUGCCUGAGUGGGUUUAUCCCCUAAUUACUUCUUAUAACAAAGACUAGGAUCCCAUUCCCACAAUAAAGCCAAGUUGUAGGAGCAAGAGAGUGGACCAUUGGAAAGUUGUGCUUGACUAUGAUGUUGAGGAGAACAAAGAAAGCACCUACAAUCCAGCUGGGUAGACAAGCCCUAAAUACAUGCAAUGUAUUAGGAAGAACAAUCCUUUAGGAAAGGGAGAGCAAGGGAAGGGAAAAAGUCAAGGAUAGGGAGAAAGUCUUUGAGAUAAUAUUUCUAGAUAAAGAGAAGAAAAAAAAAAGAGGUAGAGAAGACAAGAGCUGAGCUUCUGCCAUUUCUUCAUAGCUAAUUUUGGGUAAAUAGGCCCUUUCUUAAAAUGCUUUCUUAGAACUUUGUGGGUCCAGAAUUUAUCCUAUCAAAACAGGGAGUUAAUGACUUUGUAUGUCCUAUCUGGGGAGUUCUACAUUUAAAAAAUUUAGGUCAGGAGUUCUCUUAUGGCAUAGCAAGUUAAGGAUCUGGUGUUGUCACUGCAGUGGCUUGGGUCACUGCUGUGGUACAGGUUUGAUCCCUGGCCUGGGAACUUCCACAUGCCAAGGAUAAGGCCAAAAUUAAAAACAAAAAUAAAAAAUAAAAAUAUUUAAGUAUUUAAAAACUUUUUAAGAAUUGUACAUUGCCACUGUUAUGGGCUAGAGGUGGUUGGUACCAGCUAGAGAGAGCUGACUGUGGACAUUUCUUUCCAUCUCUGUGCCUCAGUGACUUCAGCUUGGUAGCUUGAAAUCAGUCAUGGAUGAAGGUAUUUUUAUCUUGCAGAUAGGCAAAUGCUAUAAAACAGGACUCCUCCCACCCCACCACCCUGAGUGCCGAACAUUUACCAGUACACCACUGCCUGGCUGCCAUAUCCAUACACCUGUUGUUAAAUUUGCAUGGUGUGGCUGCUGCUGCCUACUCCAUGUUCACAGUAAGAUCAUGCAUGUAUCUGUCAGCAAAGGAAUGAGGGAAAACUGGUUCUUCACCAUAGGAAGUUUGAAGUGCACUGCCUUAUGUCAUCUUUGCCUUGUUUGAGCAUUCCAGCAGAGGUCUUCGUGAUAACCAAAUGGAAUAGUCCACAGGCUUAGAAACUUGCUACUCCAAGUUUCUAGCCUCUAACACAGGGUAGUGUGGGAAUGGCAGAUCCAGCCAGGACAGGGAAGUUCUGUGUGAAACGGAUAAAAGUUUGUGUAUUAGUUUACUAGGCUGCUAUAACAUAAUACCAUCGACUGGAUGGCUUAAACAACAGAAAUGUAUUCUCUCACAAUUCUGGAGGCUAUAAGUCCAAGACCAACGUGUUGGUAGGUUUGGUUUCUCCUGAGGACUCUCUCCUUGGCUUGCAGAUCACUGUCUUCUUGCCAUGUGCCCACAUGGUCUUUGCGCUUGAGUCUCUCUGGUGUCUCUUUUUCUUGUAAGGACAUUGGGAAGGGCUCACCCUUAUGACUUUGUUUAAUCUGAAUUACCUCUUUUGAGGCUCUAUCUCUAAAUAUUGUGUCCCCAUGGGGAUUAGGGCUUCAUCUCAUGAAUUUCAGGGGACACAAUUCAGUCUAUAACAGUGUGUCAGUGUUGACUCUCUGGGCUCAUGCUGCAUUUCAUUCAAGCAUUGUAUAAUGACACAGGACUGUGGUGACCUUAUACCCAGGACAAGGAUGCCUUCUCACUUCUCCUGGAUGCCCCUUCCACUUUCCAGCAAUCUCCAGGCUCAGCAAGUGCUACCUACCCCUCUGUCAGUUCCUAGCUCAAGUCCCAUCUCUCCAAUCUAGUCUUCUUUGAUGACUCCUGACUCCUGCUUGGAGAGAAGACUUCCGCACCUGACUCAGCCUCACCCUCUUGCUCUGUAUUGUUAAGUUAGUAAUGAAUCUCAUCAAGCUUUGCAAUACCUUUCCUGAUAUCAUCUCAGUGUAUACAUUGUGUGUAUUUAUGACUUGUUUACCCAGCUGGAUUGUAGAUAUCUUGAGAAAUAUGCAUCUUACUCUUCUUGACACCCAGCCUCCUCCAUUUAGUGAUUAGUUAGCUGUAUGCCUUUUAUAGAGUAAGAAGUCAAUAAAUAUCACAGAGUUGAUGUACUUUUUUCUAAAAUUGUUAAGGCCAUUAUAUGCUCAGACAUUAUGUGAAAUCAAACUCAUAGCAGUAAUUACUGAGGUUUUUUUCCCCUUUAUUGUGGAUAUCAAGCUAGAAUUUUGGUAAAUGCUCCUGGAAUGUCAUUUGUAGAUGCCAUUGUCCCAGUGAGUUCUUAUGACUUUCCACUUUUACUCUGGUAUAAAAGAGACCUGGAUUUGAGUUCUGAUUUUGCAGUUACCACUGUCUUGCCUUGAGUAAGUUGUCUGAAUUCUCUAAGGCUCAGUUUCUUCAUCUGUAAAAUAGGAGUAAUAAUUGUACCUUAUUUCACAGAGUGAUGACAAGGAGUAAAAUAGAAAUAGCACUAAGGAAGUAGUAGAUGUUCAUCAUUAAUAUUACUCUGGCCCAGAGAGAUUUAAAAAAAAAAAAAGUAGAAACAUUAACCGUAGAUUCCAGUCUCCACUCUGAACCAGGAAUAACUUGAAAAGAAAAAACACUUGCACACCAUCAGAGGAUCAUCCAUGCAAAUAGCCCAUUUAUUGCUUGAUGCCAAGUACUUCUGAAUUAAGAAUAUUUCAAAGAAAUCAGAAGUAACACUUUCCAAUCUAUGAUGAGUUGAUUUUUAAACAAUAUUUGGCCUCACUUUGUUAUCAACCCAUUCCCAUGUCCCACUUCCCUUUGUAAAGCAUAAAACAUUUUACUUAUAAAUCACUAUGCGUACCGAGUUUUGUUAUUUUAUUCUGCCAGUCAGGUUGCAUAGGAAGUAUAUCAUUAACUGGAGAUAAGUCAGCAUGACAUUUGUCCUGAAGUUAAGGAUAAAACAAAGUUAAACUAUAUUCAGUGUUUUCUCAGAGAUGCUCAAGAAAAACAACUUUAAAGGAAAAAGGGAUGUAUGCAGAGACCCAAACCCCAUCGCUCCAACAGUCUCACUAAAACCUCUCAGUGCUCCAGAGAAGCUCGGGUAGGAACACUCCCAUAGGGAGAGCAGGAGGGUGGUGAGUGGGAAGUCAGCACAAUCCUGUGCUUCUCUAGGGCAACUGGUGCAAAGCAGAGGCCUCCAAAAAGGCUCAAAGUGGCUUGUCAGCUUUUCUGCAUGUUCUAACAAUUAGACAUACAUCCCAAAAGGUAUACUGCAAUAUUAAAGUUCAUUUAUAUACGCUGUAAAGUUUCCCCUGUGUGUCCUACAGGCACAUGUGUGACUGGAGAGUGCCUAUGGGUUGAUUCCUUUGUGAAUUACAUGGAGCUGACACAGCUGAAACCCACUAUGACCCAGAUGAGAACAGAAGCUUGUGCUGGAAGAGUGGCUGUGUCCCUAUGUGUAAGUAAGUAAUAUUCAUCCCCAUUGAGCAGAGUGGUGCAAAAUUAUUAAGGCUG